rnacentral:rRNA from 1 species
CCUACGGGAGGCAGCAGUGAGGAAUAUUGGUCAAUGGGCUUACGCCUGAACCAGCCAAGUCGCGUGAGGGAAGACUGCCCUAUGGGUUGUAAACCUCUUUUGUCAGGGAGCAACGCCGGCUACGUGUAGCCGGACUGAGAGUACCUGAAGAAAAAGCAUCGCGUAACUCCGUGCCAGCAGCCGCGGUAAUACGGAGGAUGCGAGCGUUAUCCGGAGUUAUUGGGUUUAAAGGGGGCGUAGGCGGAAUGCCAAGUCAGCGGUAAAAUCGCGGGGCUCAACCUCGCUCCGCCGUUGAAACUGGCGUUCUUGAGGGGGCGAGAAGUAUGCGGAAUGCGUGGUGGAGCGGUGAAAUGCAUAGAUAUCACGCAGAACUCCGAUUGCGAAGGCAGCAUACCGGCGCCCAACUGACGCUGAAGCACGAAAGCGUGGGUAUCGAACAGGAGUAGAUACCCCAGUAGUC